GACGAACGCUGGCGGCGCGCCUAACACAUGCAAGUCGAACGAGCGAGAGAGAGCUUGCUUUCUCGAGCGAGUGGCGAACGGGUGAGUAACGCGUGAGGAACCUGCCUCAAAGAGGGGGACAACAGUUGGAAACGACUGCUAAUACCGCAUAAGCCCACGGGUCGGCAUCGACCAGAGGGAAAAGGAGCAAUCCGCUUUGAGAUGGCCUCGCGUCCGAUUAGCUAGUUGGUGAGGUAACGGCCCACCAAGGCAACGAUCGGUAGCCGGACUGAGAGGUUGAACGGCCACAUUGGGACUGAGACACGGCCCAGACUCCUACGGGAGGCAGCAGUGGGGAAUAUUGCACAAUGGGGGAAACCCUGAUGCAGCGACGCCGCGUGGAGGAAGAAGGUCUUCGGAUUGUAAACUCCUGUUGUUG
rnacentral:rRNA from 1 species